GGGUUGUGAGGUUAAGCGACUAAGCGUACACGGUGGAUGCCUAGGCAAUCAGAGGCGAUGAAGGACGUGCUAAUCUGCGAAAAGCGUCGGUAAGGUGAUAUGAACCGCUAUAGCCGACGAUGUCCGAAUGGGGAAACCCAGUGCAAUUCGUUGCACUAUCGUUUGAUGAAUCCAUAGUCAAACGAGGCGAACCGAGGGAACUGAAACAUCUCAGUACCUCGAGGAAAAGAAAUCAACCGAGAUUCCCCUAGUAGCGGCGAGCGAACGGGGAGCAGCCCAGAGUCUUAAUCAGCAUCAGCAUCAGGAGAACGGUCUGGAAAGUCCGGCAGUAAAGGGUGAUAGCCCCGUAUCCGAAGGUGUUGGUGUUGUGAACUCGACGAGUAGGGCGGGACACGUGUUAUCCUGUCUGAAUAUGGGGGGACCAUCCUCCAAGGCUAAAUACUCCUGAUUGACCGAUAGUGAACCAGUACCGUGAGGGAAAGGCGAAAAGAACCCCGGCGAGGGGAGUGAAAUAGAACCUGAAACCGUGUACGUACAAGCAGUGGGAGCCCCAUCACUCAAGUGCCUCGGCAAUUGAGUGAGGGUUUAAACAACCACCACAAGAACAGCGCAGGAUUUGCAAACAAGAUUGGCUGAUUUUUUCAAGCCGCAGCGCAGUGUACAUAGAAGUACACGAGCAGCGGAAGUUAAAAAAUCGGGCAAGAUUGGCCGCAAAGACAAGCGGGACAUUUGAGGAUGGGGUGACUGCGUACCUUUUGUAUAAUGGGUCAGCGACUUAUAUUCUGUAGCAAGGUUAACCGUAUAGGGGAGCCGUAGGGAAACCGAGUCUUAACUGGGCGAUUAAGUUGCAGGGUAUAGACCCGAAACCCGGUGAUCUAGCCAUGGGCAGGUUGAAGGUUGGGUAACACUAACUGGAGGACCGAACCGACUAAUGUUGAAAAAUUAGCGGAUGACUUGUGGCUGGGGGUGAAAGGCCAAUCAAACCGGGAGAUAGCUGGUUCUCCCCGAAAGCUAUUUAGGUAGCGCCUCGUGAACUCAUCUUCGGGGGUAGAGCACUGUUUCGGCUAGGGGGUCAUCCCGACUUACCAACCCGAUGCAAACUACGAAUACCGAAGAAUGUUAUCACGGGAGACACACGGCGGGUGCUAACGUUCGUCGUGAAGAGGGAAACAACCCAGACCGCCAGCUAAGGUCCCAAAGUCAUGGUUAAGUGGGAAACGAAGUGGGAAGGCUCAGACAGCCAGGAUGUUGGCUUAGAAGCAGCCAUCAUUUAAAGAAAGCGUAAUAGCUCACUGGUCGAGUCGGCCUGCGCGGAAGAUGUAACGGGGCUAAACCAUGCACCGAAGCUGCGGCAGCGACAUGUAAAUGUUGUUGGGUAGGGGAGCGUUCUGUAAGCCUGUGAAGGUGUGCUGCGAGGCAUGCUGGAGGUAUCAGAAGUGCGAAUGCUGACAUAAGUAACGAUAAUGCGGGUGAAAAACCCGCACGCCGGAAGACCAAGGGUUCCUGUCCAACGUUAAUCGGGGCAGGGUGAGUCGACCCCUAAGGCGAGGCAGAAAUGCGUAGUCGAUGGGAAACAGGUUAAUAUUCCUGUACUGGUGAUAAUUGCGAUGGGGGGACGGAGAAGGCUAGGCUGGCCGGGCGACGGUUGUCCCGGUUUAAGGAUGUAGGCAGGUGAAUUAGGCAAAUCCGGUUCACUACAUGCUGAGGUCUGAUGACGAGUCACUACGGUGGCGAAGUAGCUCAUGCCCCGCUUCCAGGAAAAGCCUCUAAGCUCUAGAUUAUCAUUAAUCGUACCCCAAACCGACACAGGUGGUCAGGUAGAGAAUACUCAGGCGCUUGAGAGAACUCGGGUGAAGGAACUAGGCAAAAUGGUGCCGUAACUUCGGGAGAAGGCACGCUGGCGCUAGGUGAAGUCCCUCGCGGAUGGAGCUGAAGCCAGUCGCAGAUACCAGCUGGCUGCAACUGUUUAUUAAAAACACAGCACUGUGCAAACACGAAAGUGGACGUAUACGGUGUGACGCCUGCCCGGUGCUGGAAGGUUAAUUGAUGGGGUUAUCCGUAAGGAGAAGCUCUUGAUCGAAGCCCCAGUAAACGGCGGCCGUAACUAUAACGGUCCUAAGGUAGCGAAAUUCCUUGUCGGGUAAGUUCCGACCUGCACGAAUGGCGUAAUGAUGGCCAGGCUGUCUCCACCCGAGACUCAGUGAAAUUGAACUCGCUGUGAAGAUGCAGUGUACCCGCGGCAAGACGGAAAGACCCCGUGAACCUUUACUAUAGCUUGACACUGAACAUUGAGCCUUGAUGUGUAGGAUAGGUGGGAGGCUUUGAAGUGUGGACGCCAGUCUGCAUGGAGCCAACCUUGAAAUACCACCCUUUAAUGUUUGAUGUUCUAACGUGGCCCCAUCAUCUGGGGUGCGGACAGUGUCUGGUGGGUAGUUUGACUGGGGCGGUCUCCUCCCAAAGAGUAACGGAGGAGCACGAAGGUUGGCUAAGCAUGGUCGGACAUCAUGCGGUUAGUGCAAAGGCAUAAGCCAGCUUGACUGCGAGAGUGACGGCUCGAGCAGGUACGAAAGUAGGUCUUAGUGAUCCGGUGGUUCUGAAUGGAAGGGCCAUCGCUCAACGGAUAAAAGGUACUCCGGGGAUAACAGGCUGAUACCGCCCAAGAGUUCAUAUCGACGGCGGUGUUUGGCACCUCGAUGUCGGCUCAUCACAUCCUGGGGCUGAAGUAGGUCCCAAGGGUAUGGCUGUUCGCCAUUUAAAGUGGUACGCGAGCUGGGUUUAGAACGUCGUGAGACAGUUCGGUCCCUAUCUGCCGUGGGCGUUGGAAGAUUGAAAGGGGCUGCUCCUAGUACGAGAGGACCGGAGUGGACGCACCACUGGUGUUCGGGUUGUCAUGCCAAUGGCACUGCCCGGUAGCUAAGUGCGGAAGAGAUAACCGCUGAAAGCAUCUAAGCGGGAAACUUGCCUUGAGAUGAGUCUUCCCUGACUCUUUAAGGGUCCUAAAGGAACGUUUAAGACUAAGACGUUGAUAGGCUGGGUGUGUAAGCGUAGCGAUACGUUGAGCUAACCAGUACUAAUGAACCGUGAGGCUUAACCUGACAACACCGAAGGUGUUUUAG
rnacentral:rRNA from 1 species